AGUGAACGCUGGCGGCGUGCCUAAUACAUGCAAGUCGAGCGAACAGAUAGUAAGCUUGCUCCUCUGACGUUAGCGGCGGACGGGUGAGUGACACAUGCAUAACCUACCUAUAAGACUUGGAUGACUUCGGAAAACCAGAGCUGAUACCACAUCAUAUGUUGAACCGCAUGAUUCAAUAGUGAAAGACGCUUUUGCUGUCACUUUUAGAUGGAUCCGUGCCGCAUUAGUUAGUUGGUAAGGUAACGGCUUACCAAGGCAACGAUGCGUAGCCGACCUGAGAGGGUGAUCAGCCACACUGGAACUGAGACACGGUCCAGACUCCUACGGGAGGCAGCAGUAGGGAAUCUUGCGCAAUGGGCGAAAGCCUGACGGAGCAAUGCCGCGUGAGUGAUGAAGGUCUUCGGAUUGUAAAGCUCUGUUAUUAGGGAAGAAAAACAGUGUAAGUAUAUAUGGACGUCUUGACGGUACCUAAUCAAAAAGCCACGGCUAACUACGUG
rnacentral:rRNA from 1 species